AGGCAGUUAAAGCCAACAACCCAGAAACUGUAUUUGCUGGAUGUAGUGGCUUUCCUAAAAUACAUCUUGAAUGUUUCACCACCAUCUGUCAGACUUGGGACUGAAGGGAUCAAUGCUCUCAUGGUGGAGUUGAGGGCUUGUCUAAGAUAUUGGGUGGGAUGUAGUUGGACACCAGCUGAAAGUGCGCCGAUCAAAGUGUGAUAGACUUGUUGAUGCUGGAAAACACAAUUUGUUCAUUGAGGCGACUUCUGAAACUAUUGCUGCAGCACUUGGAUAAGACUAGACCAGCUCCACAUCUCCAACUGCAUACAUCAAUUGUUUCAGUGAUUCUGGUGACUCUAAAA